rnacentral:rRNA from 1 species
GACGAACGCUGGCGGCGUGCUUAACACAUGCAAGUCGAACGGGAAGUCCUGGUUUUUGUGGGGUACGCGAGUGGCGAACGUGUGAGUAACACGUUAGUAACCUGCCCUUAACUGUAGGAUAACUUCAGUAAACUGUGGCUAAAACCGCAUAAGAGCUACUGCGGCUUGGUGGGGGCUGGAAAGUUUCGGCGGUUGGGGAUGGACUCGCGGCUUAUGAGCAUGUUGUUGGGGUAGGGGCUUACCACGGGUUUGACGGGUAGCCGGCCUGACCGGGUGACCGGCCACAAUAGGACUGCGGUGAGGCCCAGCCGACUCCGGGAGGCAGCAGUGGGGAGGAUUGCACCAUAAGCGGCGGACUGAUGAAGCAGCGCCGCGUGCGGGAUGAAGGACUUCGGGUUGUAAUCAACUUCCGUCUGUGACGAAGAGUGAGUGACGGUAAUGGGUAAAGAAGCACCGGCUAACUCCGUG